UCGUGCUAAGCGGGGAGCCAGCGGUGCCCUGUACCCGCAAUCCGCUAUAGCGGGGCCUAAUUCCCACCCUUAGGCCUUGCCGCACGGAAUAAAUCGGAGAUAAGUGGCGCUGAUGGUCAGGACCUGUGCAAUGGAAGACCGCUCAACCCCGUCAGGACCGGAAGGUAGCAGCGGUCGGCGGCCCCUUCCCUCUGCCGCAGGGCAACCUGGCCGGAGUUGGCUGUCUCUGUGACGUCCGGGACGGGAGGUCGAAGGGGGGUGCAUGA
rnacentral:SRP_RNA from 1 species